rnacentral:rRNA from 1 species
CCUACGGGUGGCAGCAGUGAGGAAUAUUGGUCAAUGGACGAGAGUCUGAACCAGCCAAGUAGCGUGAAGGAUGACUGCCCUAUGGGUUGUAAACUUCUUUUAUAUGGGAAUAAAAUGUUCCACGUGUGGGAUUUUGUAUGUACUAUAUGAAUAAGGAUCGGCUAACUCCGUUCCAGCAGCCGCGGUAAUACGGAGGAUCCGAGAGUUAUCCGGAUUUAGUGGGUUUAAAGGGAGCGUAGGUGGGUUGUUAAGUCAGUUGUGAAAGUUUGCGGCUCAACCGGAAAAUUGCAUUGGAAAAUGGCAGUCUUGAGUACAGUAGAGGUGGGCGGAAUUCGUGGUGUAGCGGUGAAAUGCUUAGAUAUCACGAAGAACUCCGAUUGCGAAGGCAGUUCACUGGACUGCAACUGACACUGAGGCUCGAAAGUGUGGGUAUCAAACAGGAUUAGAUACCCCAGUAGUC